rnacentral:rRNA from 1 species
GUGGGGAAUAUUGCACAAUGGGCGCAAGCCUGAUGCAGCCAUGCCGCGUGUAUGAAGAAGGCCUUCGGGUUGUAAAGUACUUUCAGCGAGGAGGAAGGCAUUAAGGUUAAUAACCUUGGUGAUUGACGUUACUCGCAGAAGAAGCACCGGCUAACUCCGUGCCAGCAGCCGCGGUAAUACGGAGGGUGCAAGCGUUAAUCGGAAUUACUGGGCGUAAAGCGCACACAGGCGGUCUGUCAAGUCGGAUGUGAAAUCCCCGGGCUCAACCUGGGAACUGCAUUCGAAACUGGCAGGGUAGAGUCUUGUAGAGGGGGGUAGAAUUCCAGGUGUAGCGGUGAAAUGCGUAGAGAUCUGGAGGAAUACCGGUGGCGAAGGCGGCCCCCUGGACAAAGACUGACGCUCAGGUGCGAAAGCGUGGGGAGCAAACAGGAUUAGAUACCCCUGUAGUCC